rnacentral:rRNA from 1 species
GUGGAUUAGAUACCCUGGUAGUCCACACCCUAAACGAUGAGUACUAGACGUUGGGCCUUUUAAGGUUCAGUGUCUGAGCUAACGCAUUAAGUACUCCACCUGGGAAGUACGAUCGCAAGGUUGAAACUCAAAGGAAUUGACGGGGGCCCGCACAAGCAGUGGAGCAUGUGGUUUAAUUCGAUGCAACGCGAAGAACCUUACCUAGGCUUGAAAUGCAAGUUAAUCCUGAUGAAAGUCGGGGUGCCGCAAGGCGAACUUGUACAGGUGCUGCACGGCCGUCGACAGCU